rnacentral:rRNA from 1 species
UGGGGAAUAUUGCACAAUGGAGGGAACUCUGAUGCAGCGACGCCGCGUGAGUGAUGAAGGAAUUCGUUUCGUAAAACUCUGUUCUAUGGGAAGAAAAGGACUGUACCAUAGGAGAAAGCUCCGGCUAAAUACGUGCCAGCAGCCGCGGUAAUACGUAUGGAGCGAGCGUUGUCCGGAAUUAUUGGGCGUAAAGGGUGCGCAGGCGGCUUUACAAGUUGGAUGUGAAAUAUUGUGGCUCAACCACAAACGUGCAUCCAAAACUGGAAAGCUUGAGUUAAGGAGAGGUAAGUGGAAUUCCUGGUGUAGCGGUGGAAUGCGUAGAUAUCAGGAGGAAUACCGGUGGCGAAGGCGACUUACUGGACUUAAACUGACGCUCAGGCACGAAAGCGUGGGGAGCAAACAGG